CUGUGCUACGGCAGGUGCUUGCGUCUGAGUCAGAUCAGUCAGGUACCUGAAGUAGCGCGC
rnacentral:pre_miRNA from 1 species